UGUGACAUCUUUGGAACACUGAGACCCAACCUGUUUUUUUUUCCUUGAUGUAUGAUCGUCCAGUGGCUAUGUACCUUGCUCGUGCUUUCUGACUUCAGGAGUGUGUUGAACUCUUUUUGAUCUCUUUUCCUUCGCUUAGUGGAAUAUCUCUUGUGUUUCAUGGGGGCUUCAUUUGAAUCACAGUGCCUGAAGAUGAGCAAACCUUGAACAGCUCAGCCAAAGAAAGAAUGCAAUUUACCAUGUCUCACUGGUGGCAAGAUGUACUACACAGGCCAUACCUACUCAGGAAGAACACACAAGUGUGAGCCUAAAUAAUGAGAGACAGCAGAUUAUUCCACAGAAGGCUU